GUGUUCACUCUAAGCACAAAUACCAAAAUUGGAAUUCAAAGAAGAUUAUGAUGGUCCCUGUGGAAGGAUCACACAUAUUUAUGAAGUUGUCCAUGUUUUU
rnacentral:snRNA from 1 species